UGCUUCUGCUGAUGUGCAGUCUAUUGUACAUAGUUUUAAAAUGCUGCUUAUCUGGAUUAAAAAUUGCACUUGCCAAACACAAGUGAGUCUUAAAUGUAGAGAAAACUCAAUCCAGAGCCAAACAUACUGACCUGAAGAAAUUUUACAUCAACAUUUAAAGGAAAAAUUGUUGAUGAAUAUGUCACUAUUUUGAUGCACAAGGAGAUUAUAUGCAGUGGAAUUAAUAUAUAAGAAAUUAUUAAGACUCCAUAGACUUUUAUUAAGUGUUGACUCAGUUGUAUUUAUCAAAAUAAACCCAAUUUAUCUGAAACAUUAACACCAGGGCUGGAGCAAAGUGUGUCAUCAUCCAGCAGAGGGCAGUGUUGUCAGCGUAUCCUUUCACUUGAGCCUUCACGGACAUGUUUACUUCAGAUUUACUUUUUUUUUUUUUACAAAUCUAAAGAGGCCGUUUGAUGAAGUGAAAGCCCUCUGCCGCAGGAAACGUUAUGUUUUGACUAAAAUUUAACAGAAUUAUUGGGUUAAAGUGUAUUUGGGACUGUUUUCAGCGGCGGAUUGAUCAAACUGUGGUGUUUCAGUGAGUAUUUAAAGCAGCAGGCUGGUGUUUGCAGGGUCAGGUCUAAAUAAACUCUCUGGUUCUGUGGUGUUGAUAGAAACACCAGAACCAGCCUCAGAGGAAACCUCCAAAUCUGGACCUGCUGAACCCUCCAGCAGCUUCAGAUGUAGAUCUGUCCUCGGCUCUGGUUUACGUCUGUGUGUGUUUUUUUUAUUCUGUUUGAGUGUAACUGCAGGGACAUGUAAACAAGUAAAACAGACCUGCUGAUUAACAGUCCAUCUGAUGGAUUCCAGUCUCCUCUGUCCAAUCACAACAUCGUCCUGGGGUGAUGUAUUUACUGUUGUGGGUGGAGGGGCCUGAUUGGUGGUUUGUGGUUUAGGGGACGAAAACCUGGUCCAAUCAGACUUUAAUACACAUCUGUAAACCACCGUCUUAAAUCACAGCAGCAGUGUUUGUCAUUUAAAGCUCCAACAACAGUCUUCUACUUCUCAAUGAAAGACGUUAUUUGUGGAAACUUUAGGAAACAGCAAACACAGAAAAAUUCACUCUUUCAAAGGAGAGAGAGGUGUUUUAAAUCUGAAAUCAACAGACCAGGAUGGAGGAUUUUAGAAGAACUCCUGAUCACAACAGCCUCUUUGUCCAUGUGAUCAUCCUGUCCCUGAGCUUUUCAGACAAACUCAGACACAGACUGACCUCACCUCUCUCCUCUCUCUUCUCCUCUUGCCCUCCAUUCUCCUCCUCUCUCCUCUCCUCAUUUCUCCUCCUUUCCUCUCCUCUCUCCUCUCCUCUUGCCCUUGUUUCCUCUCCUCUCUCCAAGUCUUGCCUGUUGUUUUAUAAGAAUUCUUUUAAUUGUAAUUCUUUUAUAAUAAUUUGUUUCCGUCUCUCUCUCUCUCCUCUCCCUCCUUCCUCCUUUAUCAUAUUUUCACAGUCCUGAUCUUCAUCACACUGUGUGUUGGAUUUGUCCUCUAACCAGUAUCAGCUGUGUUCUGGUCUGGCUGGUAUUAAACAUCCUGACAGCUGCCAAACUCGGCCCUCCCACGUGUUUAACUCACUGUGUGUUGAAGGAAACUGGUGGGUGUAUUUCCUGAGUCCCUGUUGCUUCACUCGGUGUUUGGUCGGCCUGUGCAGGGGUUCUUGGCACGGCAGAGGGAAUAAAACGCGUGUUUGUGGGCCUGAAGUGUUUAUGUGGAAGAGGCAGCUCUCUGCGCACCUUAUUGGGCUGAGUGUGCUCGUUAAAGUUUGGUUGGUGACCCUCUCGGUUUCAGAGGAUGUGGUGUGUGCAGAGGGAUGUUUGUUCUGCGGGGAUUGAGGGUCUUCUAUAGGAUGCUUCAAACCAAGAAAAUACACAACCGGGGUUAAAAACGACAACAAAUACUCGGCUAAAGUUGGGACUGAGAGACCAGAGGAGUCUGAGAGCUCGGUUUUAUUUGCUGUCACAGAUGUGCUGGUAGCUCUCUGCUUCAGGAUCCAUCAAAUCGGGCUAAAAAUAUGAGGCGGGUUUAAUUCUGCUGCUCCUCGACUACUGUCACACAAAGACGAGGUAUUAAACAACCUCCAGCUCAGACUGAACCGUGAGUGCAACUGUCCACAACCCAGGAAGAGACAAAGAUAUGUCUGCAGAGUAAACAGCAUCAUUUGUGGAUUAUUUACCACAGAGGAGCUCCUGUUGAUCUGUCUCUGAUGAGUCCCAGUUUCACUGUAAAUAAUUAACUUUACUCUAUAGCUUAAUUCUGCGGGAUGAAGAUAAAGAAGAAACAUACCCGUAAUAAACUUGUGUAACGUUAAAGGUGGUGUAGUCAGGAUCUGAGGAAGUUCCAGUUUUUAAGAGAAAUCUUCAAUGUAAACUCUACCCCUCCCAACCAGUUUGGCUUACUUUGUUAAAGUGGUUUACCUGUCCAACAGAAAGGUUACAGGGUCACCAAGAUCCCGAAGCGUCCCCCAUCGUUUAUGUUGACCCAGCUUUUAGCUCUUGUCCAGUCUACCUCCUUUUUAAGCAUCCGUUAUUCUGUUAGAGUCUCUGGUAUUUAUUAGGUGGAGGAGGAGGAGGUUAUGUUUUCGGUAGCGUUGGUUUGUUGGUUUGUUGGUUUGUUUGUUUGUUUGUUUGUUUGUCUGUUAGCAACUUGACGGAGAAAGUAACUGACGGCUUGACCUGAAAUUUUCACCAGAGGUGCGUCUCAGCCCCAGGAGGAUCCCAUUAAAUUUUGGUGGUGAUCCGGAUCGCCUUCUGGGUCCAGGAAUUUUUUGAAGGAUUCUUUAUCAUUGUGAGAUAGGGCAAAUUUUGGAAUUAUUGCAUUUAACUCUAUAAAAAUGGCCAGAGUCUUAAGUAAAAAAUCACACAAAAGGAUCUCAAUGAGUUUUAUGAGAUGUCAAAGGUUGAUCCUGAUCCAGACAGAAUUCCGGAUACUGUGAUCCAGAACACACAAAAAAAGGGUGUCGUUGGAAUUUUCAAUGCUGAAAGAUAACUAAUUGGCGGCACAAUGGUGUAGAUGGGCGGCACAGUGGUGUAGUGGUUAGCACUGUCGCCUCACAGCAAGAAGAUCCUGGGUUGCGAAUCCGGGUCAGGGCAUUUCUUGUUUUAGGAACAUUAUGAACAGUGAACAUACCAGUUUAAACACAAAUAAAAGUUAAUAAAAGACAUGUAAUAGUAAAAGUUUUGGUGUGAAUCACAAUAAGGGGGGACAUGAGCUGCUUGGCGGAGGUCUGCACUCUCCGAGUGCUUUUCUAGUUGGUAUUGGUAUUGGUAUGGUCUUUAUUGUCAUUGCAACUUGUGCACAACGAAAUUGAAUUCACAGAUGGGGAAAGUACACACAAGAGGGAGGGAGAGGAGGAGGUAAAAAAAAAAAAAAGAGACUGCUCUCAUUAAUAUGAGUGCAGUGACAAAAAAAAAAAACACUCGGCAACAUGAGGGGGGUGUCGAUGUUUUCUUGCUUGUGUUGGCAGUCGUGGCCAAAGGAGGAUUCAGACAAUUUUCCGAACUUUCUGGUUGGUUUCUACUGUCCGAUAUUGUAGCACGCUAACUUUGUUUGGGCUCAUGAACGACACGGGGCAGCAGCGUCCACAACCAAUCAGGUUGGGGAGGCAGAAAACAGUUUUGUUUACGGUCAGAAAGAGCGGACAGCUCAAAAAUGUUAAAAUGUUGACUACACAGACACAGAGCAGUGGAUUAAACAGAGUGGCGACACUCCCAUAGGCAUACACUGUACAGCCCGGCAGACCCUACUUCUGGGUUAUGGAACUCUUAAUAGUUCCAACAUGACCGCCUGUCACGUUGGACGCCAUUCGCUUCUAUGGCCACAAGGAAAGCACUCACCGAGGUUAAAUUAUAAAACAUCAACAAGUUUAAUGCCAAUACAUGUGUUAUUGAUAUCGAGGGGCCCCCUUUAUAUGUAAAAAUGUAUGUCCCAAAUGUAAUUACGUUUUUUUAGUCAGGAAUUGGGAUCGAUUUUUUUUAGCCACGGCCUGCUAGUUGGACGUCGUCAGCUGUAGAGGCCUGGCAAAAUUUAUUGUGUGACUGAGUUAUGAAUCACUGAUAAAUCAUCAUCAUCAAUCAUAUGUUGAGAUGGUUACUUACGGGCUUUAUUUUAGAUUUCAGCCUUUAUCAGUACCCAGUGUUAUGUGCAAUUUAUUCUUUUUAGACUAACAUAAGGGCUAUGUAAUUUGAUUUCUGCUUCUGUAUACCAUGGGAUGAUAGAGUAAAGGGACCGCUACUUUUUAAAUACUGUCAGCAUUUAAGGCGUAUGUUUAACAUGGAAAAAUGUUAUUCAGGCCAUGCUGCAAGACCAAAACAUUGCACAAUUGUUUAAACAGCUUGUAACACGUGUUACUUACCACUUUAUUGUAUUAUUUUCUCUUAUUAAAAAGUAACACCUGUUACCAAACUUGUCUUAUUUCACUUUUAUUUUUCAUCCAGCCACUAAAUAUACGUAAGUGACUUUGCAAAUGUUGACUUUUUACGGUUAAUUUUAAUAUUUACCUCUUAAAUGCGCGCUCACUGCAGUCUGUCCCGUUGAAGAGCAUGGACAGUGCAGGCUGUGCUUGGAACUAUGGAGGGGUACAUGAACCACGUAGCCGCUCCGGCGGCAAGAUCUGAAGUUGUUGUCACUCUGUUUAAUCCAGCGCUCUGCACAGACAUAAGAGAACACAGUGAUAUCGUUACAUUCCCAAAUGUCCUCAAUAACUAAUAACUAUUGACUGAUAUUAAAAGCUUUUUUUGUAAAUACACCAUAAAAAAAGAUGUUUCUUUAACGGAUUCCUGCCCACCCCACCUUUAACUGGAAAACAUCAUCAUGAUGUAGAUGUAGAUUAAAGGUAAAACUUGAGUCAGGUCUGAGUUCAGAUCUUUUCAGAAAACUUAAUGAAGACUCUCCGUUGUUCUGAUUACAAUGAAAGUCUGUAGCGGGGUUUUUGUUGUAUUUUCAUUUGUAUUUUUCAUAAAUAUAAACAAGAAAAAGAAGACUAAGUGGCCUGAGCAUCGAUCCCUGAGGAACACCACGUGUUACCUAGGAAAUCCAAAUUCAGUUCUGUCACUUUAAGCGCUUUAGUCUCAGUAAAUUUGCAGGUUUUUGUGAAGUCAAGCAUAAAGAAGAGCUGUCCUGGUUCUGCACCAGACUCCAUAAGAAAACAACAUUAGAGAAGUGGUUUUAAACCUUUUCCAGUCCCUGUCCCCUCAUUGUUGGAGUCGACCUUACAUCGGGUUACAGGCGAUUUAAAAAUGUUUUCCCACAGAGUGAUCGAUUUGACCCCACGGACCAUUUUAUUAUUUAGAGAGUGGGACAGAAAAGAGACGUCAGCUCUCCAUCCGUCCACAUGCCCACUCCUUUAUGAGCUCAGAUGAAUAAACGUCUGAGUCACGGUCACAUUUAUUCCACUAACGUCACCGAGAGCAGCAUCAUCAUCCCUGACACAUGACCUGUCAAGUUAGUGAAUUAUUGGAGAAGACUUCAUCUGUAGGUUUGACCAGGACAGAUGGUGGCUAUCAAAAUAUGGAGGUGGAGGGUCAGGGUCCCUUUAAAAUAUGCUGCUUAUCUUUAGAUUAAGAAACCCUCAUCUGUACUCUUGUACUUGUAUUUCCUGAGUUUUGCAUCAGUCCUUUUCUUUACUUCUUUCUUUCCCUCCUUACCUGUCUUCCAGUCCACUUGUCCCGUCUUUUUCCCUGUAAAGUGCUCAAGUCUCGUAAACCCCUUCAGGAUCCCCCCUGCUGGAUUUGGUCGGAGCUUACGUCUCCAUGUGCAGAGUGUCAGGGUUUUAAGAGCCCUGAUGACAGAUGUUAAAGUCUUUAUUUUGGACAUUUGACUUUCUGUGUGGGUGUUUACACACUAUAUUCUUUAUAUGUGGGUGUGUGUGUGAGUGUGUGUGGGAUGAGGCUUUCUGAGUGCAAUGAGGGAACAUUUUCUCCAGGCCAAAUAAAGCUGCCCAUGUGAAGUCCACAUUCCUGAGCUUGCGGUGUUUCUGUCUCAAACUCUUUCUUUUAUGGAGGGAGGAGGCUGCUGCUGCUGCUGCUGCAUGUAUUUGUUUCACUUCUGAAGAUCUGCAACAGACUCACUCAGACCACAAGAGCUUCACAGGAUUUCUGCUGACCACGGCAAAAUGAGUGAGAUGUUAAAGAGCAGCAGGAUGGUUUCAUAUGAGAGCUUCAGGGGCUGUUUUUCAGGAUUCUACACCAUCGUUUCACAGGGAAAUGUAUACGUUUAGAAGUUUGUCUUACAGAUGUCACAAGAAAGGCUUUUGGACGUGAGUGAUAGCAAAAACUGAUGAAAAAACCGAGCAGUGUAUGCAAAAGUGCAAUUCUUCAAGUGUCCACUUGGGGUUUACGGCAAAACUGAAGGAAUCUCCAUUUGAAGCCGAAAAGCUCUCGGAAAUUUCUGCGAUUUUUCUUCAUUUCCUGAAACCAACAUUGCGCAGUAGCAGUGUACUCAUUCAGCGGGAGAGUUGCCGAGAGUUGCUGUGAUGACACUCGGCUCAAACCGCGUGUACCCCAGAUGAGCUAUGCAAUCCUUGUAUGCCCAUAGGCUGUAUCAAGUGUCAAUCAUAGAAAACAUGAACCCCCUAAUAACUUUUAGAAAUGGAGCUGUACAGAAAAAAGAGGACUUGAGCACAAACCAGUCUGACAGUAACUACAUGUCAACAUCACAACCAGGGGAGAAACAUUUAUUUUCUGUCAUUAAUUCAUAAAGUUUGUCCACAGCUCCAUAAGGAGGCGGGAUUUAUGACCUAUACUGCAGCCCGUCACCAGAGGGUGCUAUUCUCGCGGUGACUCCACCCAGCGAGAGGGCAGACGGCGUCAAUUCUAUAUACAGUCAUAGCCGAAAAUAUUGGCACCCCUGCAUUUCUGUCAGAUAAUGCACCACUUCUCCCAUAAAAUUGUUGAAAUAACAAAUGCUUUGGUAUUCACAUGUUUAUUUCUUUUGUUUGCAUCGAAACAACAAAAAAGAAGCUGAGAAAAUUUCAAAUCUGAUAUUAUUUUAAACAGAACUCCAAAAAUGGACUGGACAAAAUUAUUGGCACCCCUUUAAAAUUGUAAGGAGUAGUUGUAUUCUAAGCAUGUGAGGCUUCUUUAAUUUGUAAUUAAACUCACCUUUAGCAAGUAACAGGUGCUGGCAAUAUAGAAAUCACACUUGCAGCCAGUUAAAAGAGAAAAGUUGACUCAACCUUUGUGUUGUGUGUACCACACUGAGCAUGAAGAAAAGAAAGAAGAGCAAAGAACUCUCAGAAGAUUUGAGAACCAAGAUUUUGGAAAAGCAUGGACAAUCUCUAGGCUAAAAGUCCAUCUCCAGAGAUCUGAAUGUUCCUGUGUCCACCGUGCGCAAUGUCAUCAAGAAAUUUAAAGUGCAUGGCACUGUAGCUAACCUCCCUGGACGUGGAAGGAGGAGAAAAAUUGAUGAAAGAAUGCAACGAAGGAUUGUUCAAAUUGUGAAUAAAUAACCUCGAUCCACUUACAAAUUCAAGCUUACCUGCAGACACAGGGUACAACAGUGUCAGCUCGCACUAUCCGUCGCCUCAUCAAUGAAAAGGGACGCCAUUGUAGGAGACCCAGGAGGACCCCAUUGCUGACACAGAGACAUAAAAAAAGCAGACUGGAGUUUGCAAAAACUUACCUGAGGAAGCCACAAUCAUUCUAGGAGAACGUCCUGUGGACAAAUGAGACUAAAGUGGAGCUUUUUGGUAAAGCACAUCAUCACACGGUUUACAGAAAACGAAAUGAGACAUUCAAAGAAAAGAACACCAUUCCGACAAUCAGACAUGGUGGUGGUUCUCUGAUGUUUUGGGGUUGCUUUGCUGCUUCUGGUACUGAAUGCCUUGACUGUGUUGAUGGCAUCAUGAAAUCUGAAGACUACCAAAGAAUUUUAGGGCAUAAUGUAGGGCCCAGUGUCAGGAAGCUGGGUCUCCUUCAGAGGUCAUGGGUGUUCCAGCAGGACAACGACCCAAAGCAUACUUCAAAAAGCACACAAAAAUGGCUUAAGAUAAAGCGCUGGAGAGUUCUGAAGUGGCCAUCAAUGAAUCCAGAUCUAAACCCCAUAGAACACUUGUGGAGAGAUCUAAAAACAGCAGUUGGGAGAAGGCAGCCUUCAAAUCUGAGAGACCUGAAGCAGUUUGCAAAAGAAGAGUGGUCCAAAAUUCCAGUAGAAAGGUGUAAGAAACUCAUUGAUGGUUACAGGAAGAGACGGACUUCAGUUAUUUGUUCCAAAGGAUGUGCUACCAAAUAUUAAGUUAAGGGUGCCAAUAAUUUUGUCCUGUCCACUUUUGGAGUUCUGUUUAAAUUAAUAUCAGAUUUGACUUUUUCUGUUGUUUUUUUAUUUGUUGUUGUUUCAGUGCAAACAAAAGAAAUAAACAUGUGAAUACCAAAGCAUUUGUAAUUUUAACAAUUUUUCUGGGAAAACUGGUGCAUUAUCUGACAGAAAUGCAGGGGUGCCAAUAUUUUUGGCCACGACUGUACAGUCUAUGAGUAUGACAUAAACAGAUGGCAUUGUGUAGAUUUGUGUGCACAGAUUGGGAAUGUAUGUGCAUGGAUCUGCAUGUGGCUAUUUUCCAGACCCGCUUCAAUGUGCAGGCUUUUAAUCUCAUUGACUAACUGGUUUGCGGUGCUCUGUCGAUGUAAAGAACAGGGCAAGUUUUUGGUAUGAAGGACUUUUCUGUGCAAAUCUACAGAUAGAGUUAUUGACGUUUCAUGAAUGAGACCAAAUGACACUGAAGUGGUUUGAAAUCCGACACAGUCGAAGGAGGGAGAAAUGCUCCGGCCUGAGUCUGAUCUGCUGAAAUCUGCUGAAUAGAGCUGUGACUUAUUACCCCCAAUUUCCACUGCAUCCAGAGGCCUGUACUACGAAGCUGGAUUAACACAUCCAGGGUAACUCUGCGACAACUCGCUCAACUUCACCGGAUCUCUGCGAUCCCGAUCAGCUGUACUACGAAGCCGGUUAUCAACUCGAUAACUGAAUCCAGGUGUGGCCACUUCAGAUCUGUGCGCGCACACAUAAAGGGGGUGGGGUCAGUUCCACCGGACCAAUCUCCACAAUGGAGAAGGCUGCACGUCAUUUUUCACAGCUGAAGAACAGAGCUUUAUUUUACGCAAAUGCGAGGAGUACCGCAACAUUAAAACAGUGAGGAGCAGGACAGCCACAGCCACUAAAAAUCGGAGGGACUGCUGGCAAAAAAAAUCACGGGUUGUGUGAAUUACAUUUGUGUGUUCAUAAAUUUAUGGCCCCCUAAUAUGUUGUUAUGCAACGUGUGUGAUCACCACCAUCAUUGACCUCAUUAUUUCAGAUACAACAGCAGUGGGGAGCAAAUAAAAAUAAAUCUAAAAACAUCCUUUAAAGUAGUUUGUAAGUUUAUUGGAAGAUUUCAUCAGGUAAAUCAAACAGAUUUGAACGAUCAUGAAUAUAACGUUCUCGGCGAAGCGCUCCUCUCACUAUCCGUGCAACGAUGUCCCCGGGAUCCAGCAAAAUGGCAAGCCAUUUUCCAAGAGAUCUGAUUGGUCAUUGGGCGGUCUUUUAUACUUGCUGAGAUCUUAUCCUGAAACAUAACCUGCUCGGGACCAGGUUUGGCGUUCCGCGUAAGUUACCGGGGCAACGGACCCGGAUAAAAAGAGAUCCACCUUCGUAGUACAGAAAACCCAGAAGUUAUCCAGAAGUUAUCUCGCUAAGACCAAAUCCAGCUAUGUAAUACAGGCCUCAGAACUGCUCCGAUCCGGAACGGCAGUGAUUUUCAUCGUCCACCAAUUCCUACUGGAUCCUUUUGUGAGGUGAACUUCAUGGCAGAUUACAGACAGCGGUAAUGCCGAGAACUCACAAGAACCCACUGAUUCACGUUCAAUCGUGCAAUAACGAGAUGUCUACAAAGACAGCCACAUAGACAUAGGCUAUGUUCACAAUGCAGGUCAAUUCCGAUUUUUUAACCAUAUGUGACAUAUAUCUGAUUUUUUCUUCAAAGUGUGAACAGUGCAAUUCUGAUUUUUUCAAUCCGAUGUGACUGCAGUGUGGACGCUCAGGUCGCUUUCAUCCAACCUAUAUGUCACCAAUAUACGACAAACAUCACCAUUGUUCGACAACACAAACAGGCGCGGAAAGCAAUUUGUGCUUUGUGCGCAUGUGGAUCACUUCACAGAUGCAUUCUGUUCAGAUUAAAUGCCGCAUUCGUUGUCGUAAUGUGAACAACCACACAAAAAGAUCGGAUUUAACAAAAAAUCUGAAUUGUGCAUCAUAACCUGCAGUGUGAACGUAGCCAUAUAAGCAGUAGAUUGUGUCCCUCCAGAGGAGGAAAUCUACUUCUAGACUAGUGCUGGACGAUAAUUCGAUAACAAUAUAUAUCGAUCGAUAGACGUGUGGUGCGAUAGAAAAAAAACGGGUUGAUAAAAAGUUCGAUAGAAAAACACAGUUUCCCUUUCUUUUUCAUCAUAGCCUAUCAUGUAGCUUUUACUACAGUCAUUACUUCCUCCCAACCAAUCACAAAC